GGUGGCUGUUGACAUUGUAUUGGUCGCAAUUCUGUGCGAGUGUUACAAGGAACGUCGUCUCGCAUCGAAUAUAUCAAUUCAUUUCUGAUCAUUUGUGUGUCGAGGAUCCGAAAAGGUAAAAUAUAUGGAUGGGGAGAAAUGCAACUUCUCAUGUUUGUGUUCAUACCAAAUGAAAUAUGAAGUUAUGAGAAAGGAGCAUAUCAAAAUUCUGAAGAGUGCAAGAUGGAAGCGUAUUUAAUUUUAAGGUGACCAUAAUCAAGACAGCCAAGAAACAUUCAGGCCUUGAAAUCUUAUAUCUUAUCUGCUGACCGACAACAAGAAAACGGUGAUAAGCCUGAGUGACAGGCCACU